AGCAGUAGCCGCGGGAAUACGGAGGGUGCAAGCGUUAAUCGGAAUUACUGGGCGUAAAGCGUGCGUAGGUGGUGGUUUAAGUCCGUUGUGAAAGCCCUGGGCUCAACCUGGGAAUUGCAGUGGAUACUGGGUCACUAGAGUGUGGUAGAGGAUAGUGGAAUUUCCGGUGUAGCAGUGAAAUGCGUAGAGAUCUGAAGGAACAUCUGUGGCGAAGGCGACUAUCUGGGCCAACACUGACACUGAGGCACGAAAGCGUGGGGAGCAAACAGGAUUAGAUACCCGGGUAGUCCCUGUCUCUUAUAC
rnacentral:rRNA from 1 species